rnacentral:rRNA from 1 species
CAAUAGCGUAUAUUUAAGUUGUUGCAGUUAAAAAGCUCGUAGUUGGAUUUCGGGUGGGACGCAGCGGUCUCGCAUUGCGUUUGUACUGCUGCAGCCCUCCUUCUUGCCGGGGGCGGCCUCUCGGACUUCACUGUCUGGGGGUCAGAAUCGGCGAUGUUACUUUGAGUAAAUUAGAGUGUUCAAAGCAAGCUUACGCUCUGAAUAUAAUAGCAUGGGAUAACACGACAGGACUCUGGCCUAUCGUGUUGGUCUAUAGGACCAGAGUAAUGAUUAAGAGGGACAGUCGGGGGAAUUCGUAUUCCGUUGUCAGAGGUGAAAUUCUUGGAUUUACGGAAGACGAACAUCUGCGAAAGCAUUUGCCAAGGAUGUUUUCAUUGA